UUUGGUCAGCCUUUUCCUUUAUUCACUUUAUUGUGCCUUUUACUCGGUCAUUUUUGGCCUCUUUUGCCCUUUUUUGUUGCUUUUUUGUUGACUUUUGAUUUUCAUUUGUGGUUUAUUUUCUAUUCAUUUUUUCCUCCUUGCUGCCUGGCUUGUUGUUAUCUAAUUUGGUGUAAGCAUUGGUUAACAUUGGUUUUGGUUUUUACAUCACAUCUUUUUUUUCAAUGUAAUCUUUCACUCUUUGUCCUUUGUAAUACUUGUAAAGCAUGGUUAGAUUUACCAAACCAUCAGUAAUAACCUCUUCAAUCAAAUCUCAAGAAGUAAGAAUAAGCUUACAAAUUGAGGAUAAUCCGCUUUAAUGUUUAUGAGCCCAGGAAACUUUUGAGCUUAUUUUGUCAUGUUUUGACGUUGCUACUGUUGCUUCUGUCUACACUGUUUAGUACAUCAUUUUGUAAUUUACUCACCCUGGAAAGAUUAACUCACCUUGUUAAAGAAAAGGGAGAAAAUUAAACAAUUAUUCAUAAACAAAAGGAGCCAACAAACGAGGUUACAACCCUUUAAAACAUGAUGAUCCUGGAGACAAAUUAGGUUACAGCUUAAAAGUGUUUUUGUGUAUUGGUUUCACCAACUACAAAUUGUUUGAGUUUAUUAGUUACAAUAUAACUGAAAGGUUUUAUGCAUAGACCAAGUAAAGGAACCAACAGGUUAAAAUGGUCAAGUCAAGCACUUCAUUUUAUCUUCUGAUCUUGGUAUAUCUCUUCUGCUUUUCUAUUGGUUUCUUUCCCCUUUGGCCUCACUCUUAUGGUUAACUAUUCUUUACUAAUCUGGCAGAGAAAUGAGAAGCAAAAGAGACGUUAGUUGGGUCUAAUGAUGCAUAAAAUUUUUCAACAGUCUUCAAAUUAUUUGCUUGCGACUGCUGUACUUUUCAACUUCUCUCAAUUUCCCAAAAUGAAAACAAUUUUUUCUAACAUACCUACCAGAGUAUUAUGUAUACAUAUACACAAUAUAUACCUGUAUCUGUGCAUAAGUAGGUUGGUACAAACAUUUAUAAACAUUUUUUUUCAUGGUAACCUUGGUCUUUACCUAAGUCUUGUACCUGUAAGAAUAUUAUCAUCUCAAUGGGAGAUGAGGGCCUCCCCUGGGGACACAAUGGACACACACAUACUGACUGAUAUUUUAUAUUGAUAAGUUGAUUCCAUCUAUUUGUGUAGUUGCUGUUGUUGUUUCUACUCUUUCUCUGACUAGCUUGCUCCACCAACUUGAACAAGCAGCAAAUUUGAACAUUACAUUUACCAUAUGGAAAAUAUUUGGAUGACAAAAGAAGAGGAAGAGCAUGAAAAGUUGGAGACGAUGAUGAUAAUGAAAAUGAUGGAGAUGAAGAAGCUUCAACAGUAAGAAUGAUUUUAAGAAAGAUUAUUCCUAUCAAUAGAUUGGAGCUGUUGACUUUAUUGGGAAACAAAAUUUGAUUGAUUAUGACCUAAUUAGUUUCAAUUGGAUUUCAGAAUACUAAUUGAUUACAAGGUUGGCGGAUUAACUCUUUACUUUGUCUGAGCUACACUUUUUCCUGGUCUUUCAAUGGAUGAUAAUAAUAGUCAUAAAGCAUAAUAAUAAUCAUAAUGAUAAAGUAUUAAGUAACCCUAAUUGAUUAGAGACUGUUUUUGGUUAGAUUACAUCAAAAUGAAUGUUGAUUGAUCCAUAAAAAAGCGACUAAAUUGUAACUUCAGGAUUGCACUGGAUAUCAAAGGGUGAAACAUGAUGACAAUGCUGAUGACAAGGAAUUGAAAUGUAAAGACAAUCUUGCUUUUUGCCUGUUUACUGCAAGUCAAGUUUCUCUCCUUUAAUCAAAGUAAAUCUGGUUAAACGGCGAAUGUUGAUGAGGAUUUUGAUGAUACUAAAGAGAGAUGUAAAAAGAGAAUCGAAAGAUGAGGAAGAUGAGGAUAAAGAUGGAGGGAAAACAAGAGGAUGAAGACAGGUUCAAGCUUCAAAUGGAUGAAUUUGAAACUGUCCAAAUAUUAUUGGUAAUAAAUUAUCUACAAAAAAAACGGAAAUGAUUGCCAUAAUGAUGUUAAUAAUGAUGGAAACAUAAAGGCGAAAAAUAACUCAGUUGGAAGCGCAAAUUACGAUUAGACGAUUGUGGUUGGAUAUAAUCACAUUGCCAGAAUUGCAAUGAAUAAUUUUCUUCUCUCUUCUGACGACUUUGCUAUAAAAAAGAGUGCAAAGAAGAGUAAAGUUAAUGUUAAGCUUAACUCAUAAAGUUAAUUUCUUGAUUUAUGAAGCUUUUGUCUUUUGCAACUUUACUCUUCAUCAUUCUUGUUUUGAUGUUGCCAUAAAAAGCAAGAUAAAUCUCAUGAGAUGGCAAGACAACAUGACAAUGAUGAUUUCCAACAAUAACACCAUACAACAUCAUCAUGUUAUUCAACUCCAUCUUCAUCCAUUCAUCUUUCACUCUUAAUCUCGUCACCUUAUUUUACUCUUUCUACUCUUUCUAGUCGCCCAUUUCAAUUUCACAGAUUCACAAAUUUCAUUUUAUUGCGAUAAAAUGAUUUCUUCUUUUAACAUGAGUUUGCUUUCAUUUUUUACAACAUUGCUCGUUAGAUAACAUCUCAAUCUAACCAACUAACCAAAGUACACAAUUUUUGUAGCUUAUAAAGUGCUAGUCGUAAAAUUAGGUGUCAAGUGUAAUUGUAAUUUUUGUGAAAAUGAUUAUUGAGUUGAAUAGAGAAAGAAAAACUCAGAGGAAAAUAAUAUUGAGAAAUGAGUAAAAAAGAGUCAAUUGAAGAUGAAAGGUAAAAGAGUUGAAAGAUUUCUCCUCUUUUUUCCUUGAUGUUUACAUGUUAAAACGCAAUCAAGUCAGUCUGUUUUGUAAUAAAAAAAACAAGUUUAUUAACAAUAAACUUGAGUGAUAAUAAUGCGAAUGAGAGAAACAUUUUGAUCUUCUCGAGAAUCACUUCAACUCAGUAAAGUAGCUUUAACAUUAUCAUCUUUUUACACCUUUAACCUUCACUGAUCAUUUUGCUCAGCCUCAUCAUCUCCAGUAAAAGCAACAGCAACAACAAUAACAAUGAUAAUAAUAGGAUGAUUGGAAGCUGCAAAAGGAGACUCUUGACAACUAAUUAUUGAUUAGUUUGGAUUCAUGAUUUUUCAAGAAUUGCAGUUUGGCAGCUUCAAGUGUGUCACAAAACCAAAAUAAGCAUCUUCAUCAUCAUAAUCAUCUUGUCAUUUGCACUUCUUUCAUGUAAAUUCCAAAAGAAGAAGAAAGAAGAAAAAAAGGAGAGAGAAAAAUCAAGACAGAUAAAGUUGUUACCAGUUAGAUGUAUAUUGAUUCACGAUGAAGGAAACAUUUUCAUGUAUAGGAUAAUGGACAUGAUUUGGACAUUACAAUCAAUAACUUGGACACUUGGAUAAAGAAGCAAAGAUUGUAAUAGAUGAACACACUGCUAUAGAAAGACUCACAAAAGGUGUUGAAUAUUUUUGAUCCAUCGUCAGGGUAUCCAGCAAUUUUAAUGCCAUAAAAAGCAACAAGAAAAAUAAUAAUUGAAUCUUCAUUUAUUAACCUGACAACUCACACGCUGUGCGAUGGUAAACAGCAUUCAAGUGCAAAAUAUGUUUACCUUAAACAAGCGAUGCCAUUUAUUUUGCUAUUAACAUUGAAUCUCAUUUUCAUCAUCAUCGCUAUUCUGUCGUCAUCUUCAUCAUCUCCGUUAUCACCAUUUAUCUUGCAUUUUGGACAUUUUGUGUGCUUUUUGGCCGUUUAUCGUUUUACUUUGGCUGACAAACUUUUCAACUUGUACCUGCUUCAUGUUUCACCUCAUCUUGUAACUAAACCAUGCACACACUCAACAUUCAUAAAGGUCAACAAUUUUGAGCAAAGGCAAAAGAAAAGGCUUGACGAGUGUCCAUAAACUGCCAAAAAAAGAGAAGGAAAAAAAUGGAAGAGACAAAUUUGUGAAAAGGACAGAGACGCGAAAAAGUGAUAAACUCACACCGUGACAACGACAGUUGAAUACACAAAUACAAUAUACUCAUUUAUGCCCAUAUUUUGGCUUACAAAUUGAUUGUUGGGGGGUCAUUUGUUGUCAUUUCACACAUAAAUGUUGUGUUGGGUGGUGAACAAGUAAACUUGUCAAAUUACGAGGUUAUUACAAGUGAAAAAAUAUAAUAAUCAUGAUAAUCAUAAUAACAAUGUGAAUGGCGAGAAGGACAAAAAGGAAAAACUGUUGUCAAUUGUUAUUCAUAAUCGGUGCCCACUGAGUUUCCACAAGAUUUUGCGCUUUCUCUUUCGUCUUCUUUUAUUGGUACAUCAAAAGUCGAGAUGACAUUUUUUUAAACACAACACGCACACAUUUACAGCUAUACAAGCACACACACACACACACAGUCACACAUAUUGAUACAAAUCACCAUUUGUCAAAUUGAAUCAUUGAAUAAGGAGCCAUCAUCAUAAUCAUCAUAAUCAACAUAAUCAUUCCAUCGACUCGAACCUCUCUCAUUUUGUCGUUGUAAUUUGAGGCAGGCGAAGAAGAAAAAACUGGCAACAAGAGAAAGAAGAAGAAGAAGAAGAAGGCGAAAUUGAAUGAAACUGAACAAGAAAGGAAAGGAUAAGAAAGGCAAAGAAAAGAGAUUUGUGAUUUCAUGAAAAAGAUAAUAAAAGCGUGAAAAUCAAUGCACAAAUCCAUUUUAAAUAAAGGAUAAAUUUGGGAGUGAAAUUUACUUGACAAAAGAUAUUCUAUUCUCUAGACUCAGUCUGUAUAUUUUUCAUCGUCUAUGGUCAAUGAGAAGAGACACUUUAUUUGGACACCAUUUCAUACAAUCAUCAUAUUCCCCACAUGAACUUGAACAACAUGAAUCAAUGAACCCACUCAUCUACCCAUUGACUUUUUUGCCCAAAGUGAAACAAACAAACAACCCAAAAAAGCAAGAUGAAAAACGAAAGGUCGGAAAGGCUAAAAAAGCAAAUUGGAAAAUGAAUUUGUACAUUGAAUCGAAUUGGAAUAAAAUGGAACCGGAAAUUGUUUAAUACCUUGCGGCUGUUAAUAUCCAAAGGCACAAAUGUUAUCCCUUGAUGAAACACACAAAAUAACUCUAAUAUUAUUAUCAUGUUAUUAACUUGUUUAUUUACAUUUGUUACAGCGUCUAUAAGUGAUGAUAAUAUUAAUAAAAAAGUGGCACGCGAUAAGCUCAAUUGUAAAUUAAAUGAAAAACGUAUUUACUCAAUAUUGAUACAACUUUCGCCUUUUUUUCUGUUUCUUUUUUUCUCUCUUUUCUUUUCUAUUCUUUUCUGUUAUUGUUCAUUUCAUGAUCAACAAUAUUGAAUCUUGCUUGGUCUUUCACUUGGUCAUCACUUUUGUUUGCUUUAUGUCAAGUGCUUGGCUUAUUUUGUCUUUACCCUCAUCCAUGUUUAACCAUUCAUUGUGAUUCAUUCAAUUUCAUUUACCUUACAGCUCAUUAAACGAUAUAAACAUUGAAA